GUCAUCAGCACAACAUUUUCACAGACUGCUGGGCAGAAUUUAGACAGCUUGAGGAAGUGAUGACAAUGGCUGGAAGAAGAGUAGAAAGGGAGAGACACAGGCUGCUCUUCCCUAAAUCCAAGCCUCGCCGCUCACCUGGGGGCUCCAUUCCUCCCUGUUUCUGCUCAUCACAGCUGCACAUCUGGGCUGUCAGCCCCUGAGCAGCCAACAAGAUCAGGAGUGGGGUGAACACAGCACAUGGCCAAGGCAGUGGAGACUUGUUUACUGUCGCCAUGGGAACCUCUGAAGAACUUUGGCCUACCUGUCAGUCCUGCCCUGCGUGUCACCUCAGCCUGGAAGUCCAUAGGACUGUGAUGAAGAUGACUGCUUGCAUUUUCUGAAUCACUUUGUCGAUGAGACAUGCAUCCUAUUAGAUCUAACAAAGCUUCACAGAAAGGUUGUUUUGAAGUUGACACUGAGGAAGAUAUAAGUGCUCUAGGAUCAGUAUGUGAGGCUGCCACAAACAUGCUAUAGUCUGCACAUUCUUGCAGAGAGGUUGCAGAGUCUGCUUGGGAGAGAAGCCUCAAAAACAUGGCUGGUGUCUUGGCAGAGUUUGCUCUGGCCCCCAGGAGGGUGUACAAACAGCCUUCAUGAGAAGGUGACUUGCUGGCCACUCUUAACCACUAGAAGAAACUGAUGCCAUGGAACUUUGAAAAAUCAGAAAGCAAUUCCACAAAAGAAGAACCUCUGAAGAUAGUAGAGCCCAAUGAAGAUAAAUGACAUCGCCCAUAGGAGGGAACAGUGGUAUCAACCUAAAGGGGCUCACUGCCCUAUGUGCUGGAGGCCAAUACUAUGACAAUGGGUUUUUGAGAAAAUAAAAGCUUUGCAUUGAGAUUCAACCCCUAAA
rnacentral:lncRNA from 1 species